rnacentral:rRNA from 1 species
GAUGAACGCUAGCGGCAGGCUUAAUACAUGCAAGUCGUGGGGCAGCAUGAGUAGCAAUACUUGAUGGCGACCGGCAAACGGGUGCGGAACACGUACACAACCUUCCUUCAAAGCGGGGAAUAGCCCCAGAGAAAUUUGGAUUUAAUACCCCCAUAAAAAUAUAAAAAUGGCAUCAUUUAUAUAUUAAAGCUUCGGCACUUGAUGAUGGGUGUGCGGCUGAUUAGAUAGUUGGCGGAGGUAACGGCUCACCAAGUCUACAAUCAGUAGCUGAUGUGAGAGCAUGAUCAGCCACACGGGCACUGAGACACGGGCCCGACUCCUACGGGAGGCAGCAGUAAGGAAUAUUGGACAAUGGACGAAAGUCUGAUCC